rnacentral:rRNA from 1 species
UACAGAGGUCCCAAGCGUUGUUCGGAUUCACUGGGCGUAAAGGGCGCGUAGGCGGUGCGUAAAGUCAGGCGUGAAAGCCCCGGGCUUAACCUGGGAAUUGCGCUUGAUACUGACGUGCUAGAGAACGGGAGAGGAUGGCGGAAUUCCCAGUGUAGAGGUGAAAUUCGUAGAUAUUGGGAAGAACACCGGUGGCGAAGGCGGCCAUCUGGACCGUUUCUGACGCUGAGGCGCGAAAGCGUGGGGAGCAAACAGG